GACGAACGCUGGCGGCGUGCCUAAUACAUGCAAGUCGAACGCAUUUUCUUUCACCGUAGCUUGCUACACCGAAAGAAAAUGAGUGGCGAACGGGUGAGUAACACGUGGGUAACCUGCCCAUCAGCGUGGGAUAACACUUGGAAACAGGUGCUAAUACCGCAUAAUUCCAUUUACCGCAUGGUAGAUGGAUGAAAGGCGCUUUUGCGUCACUGAUGGAUGGACCCGCGGUGCAUUAGCUAGUUGGUGGGGUAACGGCCUACCAAGGCUGCGAUGCAUAGCCGACCUGAGAGGGUGAUCGGCCACACUGGGACUGAGACACGGCCCAGACUCCUACGGGAGGCAGCAGUAGGGAAUCUUCGGCAAUGGACGCAAGUCUGACCGAGCAACGCCGCGUGAGUGAAGAAGGUUUUCGGAUCGUAAAACUCUGUUGUUAGAGAAGAACAAGGACGAGAGUGGAAAGUUCAUCCCUUGACGGUAUCUAACCAGAAAGCCACGGCUAACUACGUG
rnacentral:rRNA from 1 species